rnacentral:tRNA from 1 species
AAGGCCUUAGCUUAAUAAAAGUAUCUGAUUUGCAGUCAGAGGAUGUGAGUUAAUAUCUUGCAGGCCUUA